GCAGCUUCUCGUACUGCAGCCGAACUUCCUCCUUCAGUUGGUUCACUUUCUCCUGCGAGUACAGAGGGCAGGAGUGGGCAGGCAGGGCCAACUCCUGCUACAGACAGCGCCUGGGAGAACAGUGGGAGCUGCUGCCGCUUCAAGCCUGGGAAACUGGAAGGAAGAUGGGAAAUACCUGCCUGCCGUCCCCUUCACGACCCCACCCCAGUUCACCGAAUGAGCAAAUCAGGUUGCCAAGACACUGGAAAAUGCUGGAAAACAGGGAGCAGAGGAAGCAAGGCCCAGACCCCCCACCACCAGCAGCCUCCUUUCCAUCCCAACCCCCACCUGCCUCCCCAGGGAAUGGCUAAGAGCCAAGGCCCCACUUCCCACCUGGGAAAAACCCAUAGCUGAGAUCCGACCAGAUUUCCCAGCUCAGUUCAGAGCAAGUACUCUCUGCGCAGGCAGGUGGGCUGGAGGCACCUUACACAUGCCACCGCCCCAUCCCCCCACAGCAGUGCAUGGCCUGGACUGCGUACACUGGAGCAUGCAGGAGCAGAGCAGAGUGGAACGUGGCCUGGGCUAGAAGCUCUGGAGGCCCCAGGCCACCAGGGAGACUGGGACUAGGUGGGGCCCAGGGAGGACCUUCACACCCCCAGCCCUGCCUGUCGGGCCUCAGGCCUUUGGUGAUCUGCCCGGGGCCUAUGAGGACAAAAGCAUGAAGAAUCAGGAGCCGCCAUUCCCACCCUCCACCACCUGGGCCCCCACUCCUCAGCUUUGCCGCUGCUUCCUCUGACUCCCCUCCCGGCCUGGAGCAGCGAACCCUGAGCCCCUACAUUCCUGCCCCAGGAAAGCCUCAUGUCCCUCUGGAGACUGACUGGCCAGGCCAGCUGCCAUUUUUGAUGCCAGACUAGACUGGGCAGACGGGUGAGGCUUGGGGACUCUGGGCUGUAUAAAAGUUAAUAAAUAAUAAUAAUAAAACCCUCAAGUCAACCUUGAAGAGAAACAAGGUCAGGAGGAAACAGGGCCCCAGGGACUGGGACAGAGGCAGUCCCUAGGUUUUCAGACAAGACCAUGGCUAGCUCCAGAAGCCCCUGUGGUGGUGGGA
rnacentral:lncRNA from 1 species